GCCCCUGUAGCUCAGAGGAUAGAGCAACGGUCUUCUAAACCGUGGGUCGUAGGUUCGAUUCCUACCGGGGGCG
rnacentral:tRNA from 1 species